GACGAACGCUGGCGGCGUGCUUAACACAUGCAAGUCGAACGGAAAGGCCCUGCUUUUGUGGGGUGCUCGAGUGGCGAACGGGUGAGUAACACGUGAGUAACCUGCCCUUGACUUUGGGAUAACUUCAGGAAACUGGGGCUAAUACCGGAUAGGAGCUCCUGCUGCAUGGUGGGGGUUGGAAAGUUUCGGCGGUUGGGGAUGGACUCGCGGCUUAUCAGCUUGUUGGUGGGGUAGUGGCUUACCAAGGCUUUGACGGGUAGCCGGCCUGAGAGGGUGACCGGCCACAUUGGGACUGAGAGACGGCGCAGACGCCUACGGGAGGCAGCAGUGGGGAAUAUUGCACAAUGGGCGGAAGCCUGAUGCAGCAACGCCGCGUGCGGGAUGACGGCCUUCGGGUUGUAAACCGCUUUCGCCUGUGACGAAGCGUGAGUGACGGUAAUGGGUAAAGAAGCACCGGCUAACUACGUG
rnacentral:rRNA from 1 species